ACAGUUUUCCUUUCUUUUUUUUUUUUUUUUGAAUACAGUUUUCCUAACAAAAUUAAUAGAAAUAUCUAUCCUAUCCAAUUGAAGAGCAAUCCCAAUUCAUAUAUGCUCUUUUUAUAAAUUUUCUUUCUGUCUUACUGCAACCAAAGUUGAAGAAGGUGUCGGUUGAAAAGGGCAGUAACAUAUUCUUAAUUUUUGGUCUGCGUCUUAAGAAAGAUUUUAAGAAGCCUUAAAUGAAAGCCUUGUGAGAGCACAGUGAGAAGAUAGCAGGAAGAAGGCUCUUAUAAGGAACUGAAGGAGCUGGUUACCUUGAUCUGAGACUUGCCAGCCUCCAGACUGUGACAAAUAAAUGUCUAUUGUUUAAGCCACCCAGUCUGUGGCAUUGUGUUAUGGCAGCCGGAGCUAAUACAUGGCUCUCUAGAAAUUUUGUAAAAGAAGAUUUGGAAAGCUCUGAGUCAUGUUAGCCUUCUUGGAAUUAUUUUCCACUCACCAAAGGAGACUCAGUAAAGAGAAAGGAACUCAGGCACUCAUUUGGAUAUAAAGGGAAGAAGGAAGGAAGGAGGAGGAAGGUAGGAGGAAAGAAAGAGAAAGAAAGAAAGAAGAAAGAAAGAAAGAAAGAAAGAAAAAAGAAAGAAAGAAAAGAAGAAAGAAAGAAAAAGAAAGAAAGAAAGAAAGAAAGAAAGAAAGAAAGAAAGAAAAUAAUCUUAUGAGGGUUCCUUUGACUAUAUGGAGUUGGACAGCACAACUUUAGGACAAUGGUCAUCAAAGUUGGUACCUGGAUUAGCAGCACAGGAACCACCUGGAAAUUUUUUAUAAAUACAAAUUAUUGGUUUCCAACCUAGGCCUACUAGAUAAGAAACUUUGGGAAUGGGUUCCAGCAAUCUCUGUUUUAAUGAGCCUCUUAAGGAACUCUGAUUGCUUAUGAAAAUUUGAAAACCACUGCUCUAUAAAUCAAGGAAAAACCAUUGUGGGUAGAGUACUAAUGGAAUAAUUUAUGCAGAAGAAUCAUCCUCAUAGUGUGAUGCUCACUGUAUAUAUUUCACCAAAGGAAGUGAACAUUGGAAGUUUUCCCACCCAUAACUUUUUAAACAUUGGUACUUACAAUAUUGGUCUCUAUUUAGAGCAAGAAGUAAGCCCAACUCAAGAGCAAGGACCAUGUUGGGCUUUUGUGAAGUGAAAGAAAUUAAACUGGACAAGGCCAAGAUGUGGAAGGCUGGGCUUGCCAGGAUAAAGCAUUUGGAUUUUCUGCUGCAGAAAGAAUAUGGUACUAUUUCUGUUGUAGGCAAUGGUUUUUAUUCUCUGCCACUAACUUCCUCAAAGGGGCAAAUUCUCUCCUGGGAAAUGCAAAUAGUUUUGUUUUCUUAGGAAUAAUUGUUUAUUUUGAAUAAUAUAUACUAUGCAUAAGUAGUAAGUGGAGAAAUAGUGCACAAACAUACCUUCUUUCAUUUGCCUCCUAUUUAGGCACUAGAAAAGUGAUUAUGGGUUGGAUAAGCCACCUCCCCAACAGAAGUCCUGUUCAUUAGACUCUGUAUUAUCACAUUAGCAUUGUGACCACAUAAUCUUUCUGCUGGGCUUGGGAAUGGCAGGCUUCAACCUGCUACCUUGUUCACUAAAUAGAAUCAGCAGAUAAUUUCACGGUAGUAUAGACAGCAUGAAAAUCCUGGUCAGGAUUCAUAAAUCCUGCUUUGAAUUUGGAGAGCGUAUAUGCAGGCUCCCCUGUCAGCCCUGUUCAACAGGGAGCUCCAGAGUCCCUCCAGGAAUGGGAGAUGGAAUUUGGGGAAUAGAAAUGCAUUUCUAGUCUCACUACAUAGUCCCAGAGGAGAGUCUAAAGGGGAUUUGGGCCAGAUAACUGGGGAGAGAGUCAUUAAUCAUAAUCUGUAGUCACCAAAUGGAGAAAAAGCAAGUCAUAUCACAGGGUAAAAAAUUUCUCUGCUCAGGAUCACUGGAUUCUUACUGAAUAAACGUUCACUGAACAGGUACCUCAGUCAAAGAGGAAGCUAAGUUCACCCUCUCCCCCACAUUUAUUUAUCCCUAUUCUCAAUUAAAAUACUCAUUAUACAUGGGGUCCCUGGGUGGUGCAGCGGUUUAGCGCCUGCCUUUGGACCAGGGCGCGAUCCUGGAGACCCGGGAUCGAAUCCCACGUCAGGCUCCUGGCAUGGAGCCUGCUUCUCCCUCUGCCUAUGUCUCUGCCUCUCUCUCUCUCUCUGUGUGACUACCAUAAAUAAAAAAUAAAAUAAAAUAAAAUAAAAUAAAAUACUCAUUAUACAGGGAGUACCCCAGAGCACUGAACCUGGAAAGGAAAGAGGAGUGAAGGGAAUGGGAACCAGCUGGAAUGAGACACCUGUGAGAAGGAAGAAAUCUAAUGCUGACUGAGCUCCUGAAGUGUGCAUGGCUCACUUAAAUCCAUUUUGGAUCUUCAAAUCUGUACAAUUUUCAUUACAUAGGAUGUUUAAUGCAUGCUUAAAAAUAAUAAUUUUAAUGAAAGCUUCCUAGCCCAUCACACACACACACACACACACACACGCACACACACACACAGAAAGCUAUAGGUUUGCCACCUACAUUGAUACACCAGGCACAGUUUCCUGGUUAUUUUCUUGGACCUAAUGGUUUAUUAAGCCUAUGUGAGUCAGUUUUGCUGCAGAAUAUCUUCAAUGACUGGACAGAGUGGUCACAGAAGGGUCAUCUUCAUAUGGCAGUGUGUGGGGCCUGCACUAUUCUGUGUGUUCAUACUUAGUCAAGCACAGCCACUAAACUUUGCAGUCUAAUCAGCCUAACAGGUGAGGUUCCCGAAUCUGGAAAAAACUUCUAUUAGAAAAAGUAAUGGGUGAUUGGUGGGUUUGAUUAAUGUGAAAAAUAAGUAUUAAAGGAGUUAAGGAUGAACAGACUGCCAUCAUAUCCUUACCUUAGCAAAAUCUAUGAGCUCUGAGAUACUGCUUCUGGACAUAGUAGAGAGACCACUAAUAGGGAAAUAAUUCUUUUUUUUUCCUUUUUUGACUAUUUUAGGCUUAUUCAGGAUAGCUCAUAGAAACAAGCUUCAAAGUUUAGAGUGAAUAAAUCCAUAGUUAUUUGUCCAGGCUACUAAAUCCAGGACCAUACAACUACAUGUACUAAUUUCUCAAUUGUAUAAUUUUGGAGAUGGUGUUUUGUGUAUGGAAAAUGAGUCCGAGUUCACCUACAACUUCUUUGGUGAAAACUCCAAGAAUAUUAACAUAGCUUCUAAGAUAACUUAUACACACACUGUCAGGCUGCCAUAACAAAUAUCAUAGACUAGAGGGCUUAAACAACAGAAAUUUAUUUUCUCACAGUUCUGGAGGCAGAUUCAAAGAUCAGAGUGCCAGCCUGUUGGUUUCUGGUGAGAGCUCUCUUCUUGGUUUGUAUAUGGCUGCCUUCUCACUGUGUCCUCAGAUGGCCUUCCCUCUGUGCAUGUGUGCUGGGGGAGAGGGCUUUCUGGUGUAUUUACCUAUAAGGAUGCCAAUCCUACAGGAUCAAGCCACUCUUGUGACCUCUUUUAACCUUAAUUCUUUUUUUUUCAAUCAAAAACAAUUUCAGAGGAUUUCUUUAAGAAAAUUUAAAUAACAUUUAUAUAUAUUUAAGGAGUACAAUAUGAUGUUUUGACAUACAGCAUGAUGACUAUACUUAAUACCAUAUUGUAUAUUGGAAACUUGCUAAGAGAGUAGAUUUCAGGUGCUCUCACCGCAUACACACACACACACAAUGAUAACUACUUCCUUAGAGAUUCCAUCUCCAAAUACAGACAAAUUAGGGGUUAGGGUUUCAACAUGUGAAUUGGGGGCGGGGGAGGUGCAAACACGUAGUCAAUAAGAGUUUAUCUAAGUGUUAGGAAGGAGCAAGCACCACUGGCAGAUUUUAAGGUUAAGCUAUUACUUGAAGUGAAGAUCAUAAACAUUUGUCUAGUGCCUUCCUUUCACAUAUCUGAGGACAGAGUAGAAGCAGGUGAGAUUGGCCAACUACAGGAAGUGAUUUCUGGUAGGAAAUGCUUGCACCUGACCAUAGAGUAGAGGCUGAGACAGACUGAAUUCCGAGUUUCUAUCCACCUUGUCUUGGGAUCAUACUAUUAUUGAUCAUAUAAACCUUUCUAGGAGAAGCAUCAUUAAGUCCAAGCAAGCUUGCAAAACUCUAAUCAUCAGGGAAUGGAUUAAAGCCAACAGAUGAAAAUUAAGAGACAGCAUUAUCAUUCUUAGAGAUUCUUGGAUAAAUUACAAAAUUCAAUUUAGAGGGACCCAGGUCCCAAUUGUCAUAUGCCUAAUGGAUAUUGAAUACUCAUUUUUGUGGUAGAGAAACCUUCACCUGGCCUCCAGGGGACGGAGUGACUCACACAUGUCCAAAUGGGGUUGCUCAGUUCACAGUCAUCUGCAUUCAGCUGCCUGGAUCUGCACAGGUGAUGUGCCUCAUUUACAUAGCAAAGGGAAGCAGUGAGGGUCUCUAUAGAAGACAGGUGUUGUUGCCCAGGUCUGAGUGCAACAGACAAGAAAGUGAUAUGGCUAGUGAUGAGAAAUGAUGAAUUCCAGAGGGAAAAAAAUGCAUUUAUUUGAAAGAUGCUCACUUUCUGCAGAAAGGUUAGUUUAAACAUCUGAGUUAAUGUACUGUAAACUGUUAAACUAUUUCCUAAACAAAGGGAGUGCAUAAAUGGCACAUUGAUUGUUUUUGGUUGGUGCAUUGUGUAUUUUGGGUUACAGCUUGUUUGUAACUGAAAGCAAACAGUAGUGAUGUGAUGGAUUUGCCUAUGUGUGAAAUGGAUCUUCAACAAGGGAAUCACAAAACGUUUACACUUCUAGACAAGAGCACUCCCAACACAGCGCAGCCUGCCUUUCCAAUUUCAUCCAACUGUGAUGGAAGGAAGAAAAAAUUCCAUAACAUCAAUGUGCACUUAAUUGUCAGAGGGAAAUAAAAUUACAAAGUUUAGUAAUACCAUAAAAAUCUGUGCUGUUAUGCAAGAACCUAAAAUUACAUGCUCUCUAAAGGAAAGUCAUUAUACUACAGGGACUCACAAAAGCUUUCCAAACAGAGCUGCAUAAUCUCACAGUUAAGAGAAGUUACUUCUGGUUGAAAGAGACAAACAAAACAAAACAAAAAAAGCAAUCAUUGUCAGGUUGUAAGGAUGGACAGAUUCAAGGUGACUUGGGGUCAUUCUUCUGUUUUGAGUCCAUAGAGUUAGGGGUGCAAAGGUGAGGAUAAAUUGUUUUAUAAGUAUAAAUUUAAACCAUGUCCUAUUAUUUGAUUUGAACUCUAAUUAGCACAUUCUCUUUUAUUCCAAUAGGUG
rnacentral:lncRNA from 1 species